rnacentral:tRNA from 1 species
UUAAUUGAAACCAAAAAAAGAGGUUAAUUAUUGUUAAUAAUUAAAAUGAAUAUAUAAAUUCCAAUUAAA